GAUGAACGCUGGCGGCGUGCCUAAUACAUGCAAGUCGAGCGAACAGACGAGGAGCUUGCUCCUCUGACGUUAGCGGCGGACGGGUAGUAACACGUGGAUAACCUACCUAUAAGACUGGGAUAACUUCGGGAAACCGGAGCUAAUACCGGAUAAUAUAUUGAACCGCAUGGUUCAAUAGUGAAAGACGGUUUUGCUGUCACUUAUAGAUGGAUCCGCGCCGCAUUAGCUAGUUGGUAAGGUAACGGCUUACCAAGGCAACGAUGCGUAGCCGACCUGAGAGGGUGAUCGGCCACACUGGAACUGAGACACGGUCCAGACUCCUACGGGAGGCAGCAGUAGGGAAUCUUCCGCAAUGGGCGAAAGCCUGACGGAGCAACGCCGCGUGAGUGAUGAAGGUCUUCGGAUCGUAAAACUCUGUUAUUAGGGAAGAACAAAUGUGUAAGUAACUAUGCACGUCUUGACGGUACCUAAUCAGAAAGCCACGGCUAACUACGUG
rnacentral:rRNA from 1 species